rnacentral:lncRNA from 1 species
GACAGGGAGCACACUUUUAUACAUCAUGACUCUGAAAGCAUGAGAAGGAUGCGGGGGAAUAUACACAUCAUCUCUGAGUCCAAAAGUUACAGAGUCAUGAGUCUGUUUCUUUGAAGAAGAUACAAGAGGAUCCAUCCAGCUGGUUGUGAUUCUCAGGUAAGAAAUUUACUUAAGUAAUCCAUGUGUGCUCUUCACCUGUGAGUCUAUAGGUUGCAGUUAUAAUUAGGUACAUAGAUGACCUUGUAAGGUUGUUUUAGUCAUAGAUUCUUUACAUAAACAUAAGUGUGACAGUGGAUUUUUAUUCAUCAUAAAGUAAUGUUCUUCUCAUGGCCACACCUUUAAGGAACAUAAUAUAGCACAGCUUUAAAAUGAAAUGGUUACCAGAUGACAUCUUUAAGUGACUCACUGUUUUUUGAAGAUCUUGGAGA